rnacentral:rRNA from 1 species
CUAAUGUACCCCUUACUCUGGGAUAGCCGAGGGAAACUUCGGGUAAUACCAGAUGAUAUAACUGUGUCGCAUGGCAUAGUUCUCAAAGAGCAAUCGGUUAGGGAGCAGGCGAUAUCGUAUCAGCUUGUUGGUGAGGUAACGGCUCACCAAGGCGACGACGCGUAGCUGGUCUGAGAGGACGACCAGCCACAUUGGGACUGAGACACUGCCCAG